UUAUCAAUUUUUAUGAUUAAUUAGUUUAUAAAAAUAUUGGAAUAUUGCUCCUAAUUCGCCAGCUACUGCAGAGGCUUUAGCUAUGACAGGAACAAGAGCGGCUACAAAUACUAAUGGAGAAGAGACAUUUGCACAUUCUAGUACCAGCCCUUCUACCUUAUCUGUUGUACCAACUACUAGAAAAUCUUUUAUAUAUUAAAGGCAAAAAAUCUUAGCGACCACUAAACUAUUGUUCAUAUAAUGUUUUGGCCAUUAAACUAUUUUUCAUCAGUAAUUGACCACUAAACAACUUAAUCAGCAAAUCCGUGACCAUUUAGUCGAUAAUUGCUCUUAAUCUAUGAAAUUAGCACUUAUCGUGGGGUAAUUUUGUCCAACAACUACGUGAUUCGAUUUCAUAGAUUAACUGCUAAUUUUAUAGAUUAAGAGCACUUAUCGAUUAAAUGGUCAUGAGUUUACUGAUUAAGUUAUUUAGUGGUCAAUUAUUGAUGAAAAAUAGUUUGAUGGACAAAAUAUAAUCUGACUAAUAGUUUAAUGGCCGCUGAGGUUUUUAACCCAUAUAUUAAUAUGUUAUGUAUUGAGUCCUAUGUUACAAGUACUUUAUUUUGGUUGCAAACUUCAUUAACUUAAUGCUUUUAGCAAGUCUUUUGUGGUAUCAACAAAAAUUGGAUAGCUGCUUGGGUCUUAUGCACCAUUUCACAAGUCCUAUCAACAACUAUUUAUCUAGUCUUGCUUAAGAUGUAAUAAAUUUGAUACAACUUGGCUUUAUAUAUUAUUGAUGGUUCCUUAUCUAGCAUAAAUGGACUUAUCUAGUAGUGAAGUUCUAUAUAAUAUUAGUACUACUAAUUACUAUGCUAUUAAUGAUAUUCGUGACCCUGAUGCAUCCAUUCUAUUUAUCCCCUUGUGUAGUGAUCUAGAAUUGAUGAUAGAGUAAGGAUUUUUCGGUUCUCUGCAUUAUCAUGAAAGAAUCACAUGCUAAUUAGAUGCUAAUUUGAUCUACUUAUCGAUACUGAAGCAAGAAAAGCUGCAAGAAUUAUCAUCAGUUAAUCAGUUGCCUCUUUAAUGUUUGUAUCAAUCGAAGCUGCAGUUGUCAUUGUUGGCCUGGCUGCUUAUCGUUUUUAUGUUGCAAAAAGAAAUUCAUCAUGU
rnacentral:lncRNA from 1 species